AUAUGAGCAGAAUCAUUUUUGCAAACAAAUUAGAAAUGGUUUGCAUGACUUUUAAGCAACCUUCAAUGUUGAGGAAGACGACACAAUCUUAUCAAAUCAAUAAAAUACUAAAAGGGAAUUAUUGGUGGAAUUUGUUCGGAAGUUAAGGAAUAAGUCAAGUCCUAUUUUAUACAAGAGGAACCCUUUUGGUUUCAAAAGGUUAAGGUCCAGGCAAAGGAUCCAUUGGUGGAUGGGGAAAAGAGCUAAGCUAAGGGUUUGCUUGUGAUUUGUAAAGAACUGCAACCCCUUUCUUUUGAGCAAGUACAUUGUAAUGUAUUUAGGAUUAGGGUGCCAAUAGGAUAUGAUUAUAUAUAUGCAUGUGAAUA